rnacentral:rRNA from 1 species
UACGGAGGGUGCAAACGUUGCUCGGAAUCAUUGGGCGUAAAGCGCACGUAGGCGGUCCAGUAAGUCGGGUGUGAAAUCCCUCGGCUCAACCGAGGAAGUGCAUUCGAAACUACUGAACUUGAGUAUGGAAGAGGGUCGCGGAAUUCCCGGUGUAGAGGUGAAAUUCGUAGAUAUCGGGAGGAACACCAGUGGCGAAGGCGGCGACCUGGGCCAAUACUGACGCUGAGGUGCGAAAGCGUGGGGAG